UACGGAGGGUGCAAGCGUUGUCCGGAAUCACUGGGCGUAAAGGGCGCGUAGGCGGCUCAUGAAGGCUGUGGUGAAAGUCCGGGGCUCAACCUCGGAUCGGCCGUGGCGACUCGUGGGCUGGAGCACUGUAGAGGCGGGUGGAAUUCCGGGUGUAGCGGUGGAAUGCGUAGAUAUCGGAAGGAACACCGGUGGCGAAAGCGGCGCGCUGGAUCCCUACUGACGCUGAGGCACGAAAGCCAGGGGAGCAAACGGG
rnacentral:rRNA from 1 species